rnacentral:rRNA from 1 species
AAUAUUGCGCAAUGGGGGAAACCCUGACGCAGCAACGCCGCGUGAAGGAUGAAGGUUUUCGGAUCGUAAACUUCUUUGAUUGGGGACGAAUAAUGACGGUACCCAAAAAACAAGCCACGGCUAACUACGUGCCAGCAGCCGCGGUAAUACGUAGGUGGCGAGCGUUGUCCGGAAUUACUGGGUGUAAAGGGCGUGUAGGCGGGGGAACAAGUCAGAUGUGAAAUCCCAGGGCUUAACUCUGGAGCUGCAUCUGAAACUGUUUCUCUUGAGUACUGGAGAGGAAAGUGGAAUUCCAAGUGUAGCGGUGAAAUGCGUAGAGAUUUGGAGGAACACCAGUGGCGAAGGCGGCUUUCUAGACAGUAACUGACGCUGAGGCGCGAAAGCGUGGGGAGCAAACAGG